rnacentral:lncRNA from 1 species
AAAGCAGGAGAAGGAAUCAAGGAAGGCUUCCUAGAGGAGAUGACCCUUGAGCUGAGUCCUGCUGAAGGGGUAAAACUUAUUCAGAUGAAGGAGAGAGAUGCAGUCACCAACCACCCUGAAUCAGACUGAGCCCCACCACAAGAGCAGUGCCUGCACACAUGAGCUGAGAGAUGACUUAAAGUCGCUCUUUGCUUCAUUUUAAUGCGAAGAUCUCUGCCCCAGGAGGAGCCUAAGCCUUAUUACCACAACAUGCAAUACCUAAAGGAGAUAAGGGAGCCAGCCAUAUGGAUGGGUAUCUGGUGAGAAAACUUUCCAGAAGAGGAAACAGCAAGUUCAAAUCCCUGAAGAGGAGCAUGAGUGCACCAGAUUGAUUGGAAGGGUAACGAAUUGGAGGAGGAAAAUAUAUCAAGCUUCAUUAGAAGAAAUAAAAUAAGUUAAUUGAUAAAUCUAGAGAAAAUUGUACAGUCCCUGAGUCCUUGUGGUGAAAUUGAUGACUUACGGAGAAGGAUUCUGCUGAACAUGUACUUCUUGCUUCCACAAGAGUGAGGCAACAAAAGAAGAUGAUUGCAUCUCUGAGAGAAGAAAGAAAAGAGGGAGAGAUGGCCACCUCCCUAAUACUAAUACCUAAAUGGAGCUUCUGGAGGGCUAGCAUUGGUGAGGACUGACUCAGGAAGUCUGUAAAGGUCAGUCAGCAGUUUGUGAGGAGUCACAAGUCAGGAUCCUGUCAUUGGUUAGACCAAAAUCCCCCAGAGUCAGGCCCAUCAAUAUUCCUGCAGCGUGAGGAACGCAGCAAGGUUCCAGAAUGCUGACCAGGUGGUAACAUAGGAAGAUCUUGAAUUCACUUUCUCCCAAGGACACACUGAGUCUACAGCUACAUGUGGAACAGUUUCCUCUUUAAAAACCUAAAGGCUGGCUGAGUGACAACUGCACAUUGGACAAACUAGAAGAGAACCACAAUGAAAAUUGUUCAUACCCAUUGCUGCAGACCUGGUCUCAAAACUGCUGCUGGAAUUACCGAGAUGGAAGCGAAUUCCUCUGAAUGAGGUUUUGAAGCUGGUUAGAAGAUAGGUUUGGGGGACAUCUUGCGGGGGAGCAUUAUUCUGCCUACCAAAGCACUCAAUCUGGAUUUGGGGAUCAGAAAAAGCUUCCUGGAGGAAUUGAUGCCUAAGAAGAGAUUUAAAGGAUGAAGAGGAGUACCUACUUCUGGAGAGAAGAAGUAUUUAUCAGAAGAGUGGAGCAACAGUGAGUGGACCAAUUUGUUCAAGAAAGAACUUACUGUUCAGCCACAAACUGGGCCUGGAGAUGGUACACAUCACAUCCAUCCAUCUUCUGUUGGCCAGAAUUUAGUCAUACGAUCAUACCUCACUGCAAGGAGCUUGGGAAAAGCAGUCCAGCUGCAUUCCCAGGAGGAAGAGGAAAGAGGUUUGGCGGAUACCUAGGCAGUCUAUGCCACAGAGGGAUGAGGUCAACCCAGCCAUCAGCAAACUAGAAUCAGUGCCUGAUUCCAUAUUCAAUUCAUUGAAAUUAAGACACUGAAGAUUCCUGUUACAAGCAAUGCAAGCAAACGCAAAACAUAAGGGAAUGGCAAUUUGAUGUCUGGACACAGGAAAUGAUCCCUCAGUCUUUCUGGGCUUCACAAAGGAGGAUCAAAUCAGCAAUUUUCCAGCACUCUCUGAGGAUAUGGAAUGGAUGGCUCAGCACAACUCUUCCUCUUACUAGGGCCACCUCCUCACAUGCCUUAAUCUGCAUGACAGAAUGCAGGGAUGUGCUGCAGGUUUCAACUUCUUCUUUGUGUUCCCUCUUCAAGUGUAAAAUAGCAGAUGCCUAAAUGUCUGACUUGUGAUGGAAAUGCCUGUUCCCAUGGAGCCGCUGCUUCCAAGAAAGCUUGCCACAGACAAAGACAAGGCAGAAAAUGGCCUCCUCACUGGAGAUGAAAAGAAGCUGCACUGAUGAGGAAAUCUGUUCCCAACUCCUGUCACUAAAAUUUCCUCUUCUGCCUCUAGUUUUCUUUAUUGUGCACCCCCUGAAGCAUUUGCAUUUGUGUAUUGCAACACACAAUAGAGAAACUAUGAUUCUAUAACCCAAUUUUGGUAAAUGCUACCAAAGUGGAGAGAAUAAUAUACAGAAAUAUAGGGCCUCCUGAUUACUUUAAGACUAAGAUUCAUCUCCCAUUGGGCCUUUAUAUUGUUGAGAGAACUCUAAAGAUCUAACAUAUACUUUGGAACAUUUGGAAGACAACAACAAUUACCUGUGUAUCAGCUUGUAUUGGUGUAUUGCAUAGCUGUAGCUGUGCCUAUAUCAGAUUAUUAGAAUCAAUGCAUUUAAAAUACCUAACACAUGUCAGAUACAAUGCUGAGUACUGAGGAAACAAAGAUGGCAGGGUCCCCUGACUUCCAGGAGCUCACACUUUAGAAAGAUAGGCAUAUGAAUAACUAUCUGUAGAAUAUUGUGCUAAUUUAUUUAGAAAAUGUAAUCGGAACACAGAUGACAUAACAAAGAACUGUGGUGGAGACAAAGAUAGAGUUUGAGAGAAAGGUAUAGGAGAAAAGACGUUUAUGCUGGGCUUCAAAAGGUGAAUUGAAAUUUUCCUGGCUGGACAAAGAUGGAAAGGGCAUUUCAGCAGAGAUAAAAACAAUAAAGACCUCAAGACAUGGAAGUGCACGGCAUGCCUAAAGAACAUGUAAAGCUGAAGGGUUAGAAUGCUAGGUAAUAUUUCAGCAAGUGUGAUCAUCAACAUUACUAUCAUUUGGAGUGUUUGUUUAACUUUUCAGUUUCCUGAGCUCUAGACUGAACCUACUGAAUCAGACUAUCUGAAAAUGAGGAUGAGGAAUCUGAAUUUUGGAAAUGUGUGUGAUGAAUAAAGGUUGAGAACCAUCCUAUUUAGGUCGAGUCAGGAAUACAGGGAAGGACACAUUGACUCAUGACUCCAAGUAGUUCUGUGGUUAUAUGCUUAUAUACUAUUAGACUGAUCAAUUCAAUUCCAAAUGUGUUCAAUCAAAUAAAUAGAUUUCACUGUUUGUAAAUUUAUUAUUGUAAAUUGCAAAACUUCUGUAAACAGAAGCCCACUUACUAUAAAUUGAGUCAAAAGACAAAGAUCCAACUGUGCCUGUUCAAAAAUGGGAAGAUGUUUUCCAGACUGUUUUCGGCUCCAAAGAGAAUCUUCUUAUCUAACACUGGGAUCUUGAUUAAAAUCUCUCCCUUCUCAGCAGCAAAAAACUCUCUCAAGGAGUCUCAAAAGAGAGUCAGCUCAGGGGCUGGCCUGGUGGUGUAGUGGUUAAGUUUGCAAGCUCUGCUUUGGCGGCCCAGGAUUCACAAGUUUGUAUCCCAGGUGUGGACCUACACACCGAUAAUCAAGCCAUGCUGUAGCGGCAUCCCACAUACAAAGUAGAGGAGGAUGGGCAGAGAUGUCAGCUGAAGGUCAAUCUUCCUCACAAAAGAGAGAGAGAGAGAGAGAGAGAGAGUCAUCUCAGAGCUGCUCACAGCAGUCUUUCCAUCAUUGAGCUUGGUUGUAUGACUACAUAGACUUGGGUGACAGCAGAGCCACUGUGAAGAGGACAAGGCAGAGAGCAAGCUGGAAAGUUGAAAGACUCCUUGUCUGAGGCACAGAGGCUGGACCAGAAGGACUGGAUGCCUCAGAGAGACAUUGACUUCUUUUCAAUGGGCACAUCAGCAUCAGUGCAAAUUGAUGAUCCCAGAUGAGAAGCAGACAACACAAAUUCGGCAGAGCAGCGCAGUAAAGCCAGAAUGAGAUAAAAUAUUGGCAGCCACUCAAAGCUAUGCACUUUCCCAACCUGUCCUCAGAGUGAUUUGGUGCUCAUUUUAGAGCCCUAUAGUAGUCCUAGCUACCUAUCACCCCAAUAAUUGCACACACAAAUACCUGCAAUUAAGUUACUAGCUUAAAAAUUGAUACACAAUUCAGUCAGUGUUGAUUUAAUGUUUCUCAACAAAACCUUUUUUUUCCCUCUAAGGUAGUAUGUCU